AAUAGUUACGGGUUUGUUCCUUCUAUAAUGCAAGUCGAGCGGAUCUUCAUUAGCUUGCUUUUGAAGAUCAGCGGCGGACGGGUGAGUAACACGUGGGCAACCUGCCUGUAAGACUGGGAUAACUUCGGGAAACCGGAGCUAAUACCGGAUAAUCCUUUUCCUCUCAUGAGGAAAAGCUGAAAGACGGUUUCGGCUGUCACUUACAGAUGGGCCCGCGGCGCAUUAGCUAGUUGGUGAGGUAACGGCUCACCAAGGCGACGAUGCGUAGCCGACCUGAGAGGGUGAUCGGCCACACUGGGACUGAGACACGGCCCAGACUCCUACGGGAGGCAGCAGUAGGGAAUCUUCCGCAAUGGACGAAAGUCUGACGGAGCAACGCCGCGUGAGCGAUGAAGGCCUUCGGGUCGUAAAGCUCUGUUGUCAGGGAAGAACAAGUAUCGGAGUAACUGCCGGUACCUUGACGGUACCUGACCAGAAAGCCACGGCUAACUACGUGCCAGCAGCCGCGGUAAUACGUAGGUGGCAAGCGUUGUCCGGAAUUAUUGGGCGUAAAGCGCGCGCAGGCGGUUCCUUAAGUCUGAUGUGAAAGCCCCCGGCUCAACCGGGGAGGGUCAUUGGAAACUGGGGAACUUGAGUGCAGAAGAGGAGAGCGGAAUUCCACGUGUAGCGGUGAAAUGCGUAGAGAUGUGGAGGAACACCAGUGGCGAAGGUGGAUCUUUGGUU
rnacentral:rRNA from 1 species